rnacentral:rRNA from 1 species
UGAGGAAUAUUGGUCAAUGGGGGCAACCCUGAACCAGCCAAGUCGCGUGAAGGAUGAAGGUCUUAUGGAUUGUAAACUUCUUUUACACGGGAAUAAAGUGGGGGACGUGUCCCCCUUUGCAUGUACCGUGUGAAUAAGGAUCGGCUAACUCCGUGCCAGCAGCCGCGGUAAUACGGAGGAUCCGAGCGUUAUCCGGAUUUAUUGGGUUUAAAGGGUGCGCAGGCGGGAUGUUAAGUCGGCGGUGAAAUUUUGCAGCUCAACUGUAAAAGUGCCUUCGAUACUGGCCUCCUUGAGUGUGGAUGAAGUAGGCGGAAUUUGUGGUGUAGCGGUGAAAUGCUUAGAUAUCACGAGGAACUCCGAUUGCGCAGGCAGCUUACUAGGCCACAACUGACGCUCAUGCACGAAGGCGUGGGGAUCAAACA